rnacentral:misc_RNA from 1 species
AACUUUUAACAACGGAUCUCUUGGUUCUGGCAUCGAUGAAGAAAGCAGCGAAAUGCGAUAAGUAAUGUGAAUUGCAGAAUUCAGUGAAUCAUCGAAUCUUUGAACGCACAUUGCGCCCUCUGGUAUUCCGGAGGGCAUGCCUGUUCGAGCGUCAUAAUGACCAACUCACCCCCGUGGUGGACUUGGAGCUGGCCGGCCUGGCCUCUCUUAAAACCAGUGGCGGUGCUCUUAAGCUCUACGCGUAGUAAUUUCUCUCGCGACAGGGUCUUGAUGGUGCUUGCCAACAACCCCAACUCUUUUAAGGUUGACCUCGGAUCAGGUAGGGAUACCCGCUGAACUUAAGCAUAUCAAUAAGCGGAGGCU